rnacentral:rRNA from 1 species
AAUGACGGUACCGGAAGAAUAAGCCCCGGCUAACUUCGUGCCAGCAGCCGCGGUAAUACGAAGGGUGCAAGCGUUAUUCGGAUUUACUGGGCGUAAAGCGCACGUAGGCGGCAUAUUAAGUUAGAGGUGAAAGGCCUGGGCUCAACCUAGGAACUGCCUUUAAUACUGGUAUGCUUGAGUUCGGAAGAGGGUAGUGGAAUUCCAAGUGUAGAGGUGAAAUUCGUAGAUAU